UAACGCGAAGAACCUUACCAGGUCUUGACAUACUAUGCAAAUCUAAGAGAUUAGACGUUCCCUUCGGGGACAUGGAUACAGGUGGUGCAUGGUUGUCGUCAGCUCGUGUCGUGAGAUGUUGGGUUAAGUCCCACAACGAGCGCAACCCUUAUUAUCAGUUGCCAGCAUUAAGUUGGGCACUCUGGUGAGACUGCCGGUGACAAACGGGAGGAAGGUGGGGAUGACGUCAAAUCAUCAUGCCCCUUAUGACCUGGGCUACACACGUGCUACAAUGGAUGGUACAACGAGUUGCGAACUCGCGAGAGUAAGCUAAUCUCUUAAAGCCAUUCUCAGUUCGGAUUGUAGGCUGCAACUCGCCUGCAUGAAGUCGGAAUCGCUAGUAAUCGCGGAUCAGC
rnacentral:rRNA from 1 species